GACAGAGGUCCCGAGCGUUAGGCGGAAUCACUGGGCUUAAAGCGUGUGUAGGCGGACUUCUAAGUACCUUGUGAAAUCCCACGGCUUAACCGUGGAACUGCUUGGUAUACUGGUUGUCUUGGGCCAUCUAGGGGCUACUGGAACAAACGGUGGAGCGGUGAAAUGCGUAGAUAUCGUUUGGAACGCCAAUGGUGAAAACAAGUAGCUGGGAAUGUGCCGACGCUGAGACACGAAAGCCAGGGGAGCGAACGGG
rnacentral:rRNA from 1 species